GAAUUCCAUGGACAGAGGAGCCUGGAGGGCUAUAGUCCAUGGUGUCUCAAAGAGUCGGACAUGACUGAGCAACUAACACUGUCACUUUAUGAACAUAUAAACAUACUUUUUUAUUUUUUUGUCAUUGAGUAACUUUGAUUCAGUCCUAAUACUGUAUGCUAUGUGUCAGCUCCCAGUUCACCAGUUUGGAAAAGUCUUUUCCCCAAAAUUCAUCUACAUAGGAUAUUGUUCAGUUCAUGAAAUAAAAAAGAUUAUUUGUGUUUUCAUUAUUAAUUAGUGUUCUAGAUUAGGGGAUUUUAUAAUUAACUUUUUUUUUUUAGCUGAGAAAUAUUAACUUUUUUUUUUUUUUUAAGCUGAGAAGUAUUAAUGCAAAUUAUUAUGUGCUGUUGGUGCUAAAUAUUUGUCUGAUAAAUCUUUUUCAGGUGUAUUUUGAGAGCUACAGUCAUGGUUGUAGCAGCCAGGAGAAUGCACCUCUCAUCUCUUCAGCAGGAGGGAACAUAAGGGACUAAAGGCCCUGCAGCCGCUGCACUUGGUCAUCCCGGCCUUAACGCACAGUCUCUGCCUCUUGCCAGCCAGGGACUGAGCCUGGCAGGGAGAUGACUCCUUCACUUUGGUUUUAAGACUACCUGACGGUCUUGCCAGACUCCCUUAAGAUUGUGUUACAGUCUCUAAGUCACUUUCACUCAACCUUCCUUCUUUUAUUUACCUGCAUCAGGGCCGGGUUGCCUCCCACCAACCCCAGCACCCCCACUGUUUUUCCUCACCAGUGUUGCCCCUGGUAAAUCUGUUCCAUAGCUGAUCCCUUCUUGGUCUAUGUGUCUGCUUCCUGGAAGAUCCAGACUAACACAAGUAGCCCAGGAGUGAGAUCCAAGAAAACUGGUUAAUAGAAUAGGAGCUGAUUCAUCUCUGUUCCAAAGAAUGAAGAGGAUGACAACCUGGCUGGAAUUUACCUGGAAUGCAACAAGAACAAUAAAGAGAAAAUAAGAGGGAAGAAGAGACAUGAUGGAAUGAGAAUGCCCAGUGAGCCUCCACAGGAAUCCCAGGAGUGAAUAAAGAAAACAGCAGAGGCAAGUAGUAUUGGAAAAGGGAGGCUGAGACUUUUUCAUAGUUCAUAAAGAUGAAUCCUGAGAUUCUGGAAGCCCCAAGUGAAUACAAAUGAAUUUAUAGCAACCCCAAGUGGUGAAAUUGCAGAAUACCAAAAGCAGAGUGAAAACCUCUAGGGGAGUUUAUUCCCAGAGCAGGGAGAGGCUGGGUGAGAGAACCAUAGUUGGAGGUAAAAUUGCAGAAUACCAAAAGCCGAGUGAAAACCUCUAGGGGAGUUUAUUCUCAGAGUAGGGAGAAGCUGGGUGAGAGAACCAUAGUUGGAGGUGAAAGAUCAGUAGCGGGCCAUGAACACAGCAGUGUGGCUUUGAGAAGGGCACUACUAGGUGACUGGAUGGGCUGGGUUUGGGGGCAGAGACCGCUAGGAGGACUCAUUCAACCCUAGCUUCUCAUCAGUGGGACUCAGCUUCUCCCAGGUCCUGGUGAGAGCCCAAGCUUGUGCCUUCUUUCAAGGAAGUACAGGGUGAGUGUGGCUCUCAGAACCUUAAUAAAUAGUUGGUGCGUAAACAAAUGCGAGAAGCAUUUUGAGAAUAAUGAGGCCAAGCUGGUGGCUACACUUGGAUUGCUAAAUUGAUGUAUAUAUGAAAGGCCUUGUGAUGAUGUUUUUGUGAAAGGCUAUUCAUGGUGAUAAAUAUGAUUUCAGUUUCUGCUAAGAAUCUAAAGCAGUGCAAAACAAACGAGAAAUCUCUAGCAUCCUUUCUAGAUGUUUUCUAGGCUGAUUAUAAAUAUGAGUUAGUGCAUGUGUAAAUCAUAGAUAUAGAAGCCAGAGCAGCGUCAGCAACCUCUGUGGAUGGCAGUCUUGUCUAAGCAGAUAUCUUUCUGCCACAACUGUAAGAAGUGACAGACUGCGGUCUUUGCCUCCCAGUAGGAUUUGAUAACAUAGGAAAAAAAACAGACAGUUGCCUUAUCAUAGGUGCUAAUUUUGCAAAACGGAAAAGAAAAGCAUAGUAUUUUCCUGCCCUUAUCCUGUAGUUUAGGCUUGGCUGUGUUGGGUGUAUCAGACAGACUUUUCCACUGACCAUCCUGGGCUACACAGUGAGGCCAUCCUGAGGAAGUGGUGUUCCAAAACAAAGUCCUGUCCUUGCUCUUUCUGUCAUGAUUGGAUCAUGUAUACGGGAAAGAAAUGGGAUAGAUGGAUACUGCCCCACCGUAGAGAAGUGUGGGGUUUUUUGACUAGUAUUUUAAUGUUAAAAAUACAUGUAGCCCAAAUGUCACAGUUCUUAUCUAUAAGCCUUGGAGGAAGGCACACUCAUAUCGUUUUUAUGCAUGAGGAAACUGAGGCUCAGGGUUAGGUAAUGACGAACUGGAUAUACAGAUGGGUCAUGGGCAGACCAUAAAUAAAACAGAACUCUGGCUGGCAGCCUACAGCAAUAAGCAUAGGAAACCAACUCAUUAUCCAUAGUAGCCAGUAGAGAGGCCAGCCUGCUGUAAGUCAGGCUUGUAGGAAGUUGGACCACUACUUCUGGAAACAAUGCAGGAAGCCAAAUUAAAAUGCCUGAAACUGACCCCGGAGCGCUAGGACUUUAUUAAUAACUGACAGCUUCCCUCAUUUCUGUCCCUAUUUCCAACUUAGGACCAACCAGAGGAAGCCACGUAUGCUCUUGCCAUUGUACCGCUUGCCCUUGUCUGGAGGCUGAGCCUCCAGUGCCUUCAGUAGGCCAGCAAGCAGGAUACCAAUGAGAGACAGGUACGUACAUUGGUUUGGCAUAGUUUAUUACAAUUAGUAUGCAUAGAAAACCAUGUAAACUCACAAGGUAAAUGGUUUGUCCUCCAUAGUAACCACAGAUAGUCUGCUGUGACCUUCCAGCACCUCAGUAUCACAGAAAGUGUCAUACAACUAGUAUUAUACAUUUUUAGGGAAAGAAUUUUUUGGUCCACAUUUUCUAUUAAAACAAAAA